AGUGAACGCUGGCGGUAGGCCUAACACAUGCAAGUCGAACGGCAGCACAGGAGAGCUUGCUCUCUGGGUGGAGAGUGGCGGACGGGUGUGGAAUACAUCGGAAUCUACCUUUUGGUGGGGGAUAACGUAGGGAAACUUACGCUUAAACCGCAUACGAUCUACGGGUGAAAGUGGGGGACCGCAAGGCCUCACGUGAUUAGAUGAGCUGAUGUCCGAUUAGGUAGUUGGCGGGGUAAUGGCCCACCCAGGCAACGAUCGGUAGCUGGUUUGAGAGGAUGAUCAGCCACACUGGAACUGAGACACGGUCCAGACUCCUACGGGAGGCAGCAGUGGGGAAUAUUGGACAAUGGGCGCAAGCCUGAUCCAGCCAUACCGCGUGGGUGAAGAAGGCCUUCGGGUUGUAAAGCCCUUUUGUUGGGAAAGAAAUCCUGUCGAUUAAUACUCGGUGGGGAUGACGGUACCCAAAGAAUAAGCACCGGCUAACUUCGUGCCAGCCGCCGCAGUAACAC
rnacentral:rRNA from 1 species